UACAGAGGGGGCAAGCGUUGUUCGGAAUUACUGGGCGUAAAGGGCGCGUAGGCGGCCUUCUAAGUCGAACGUGAAAUCCCCGGGCUCAACCCGGGAACUGCGUCCGAUACUGGAAGGCUUGAAUCCGGGAGAGGGAUGUGGAAUUCCAGGUGUAGCGGUGAAAUGCGUAGAUAUCUGGAAGGAACACCGGUGGCGAAGGCGACAUCCUGGACCGGUAUUGACGCUGAGGCGCGAAAAGCCAGGGGAGCAAACAGG
rnacentral:rRNA from 1 species